GCGCUCUCCACAGAGAGUCCCGUGGUGUGGGUAACUUGGGACUGCGAGUCCUUUCACUCUAGUGGGAAGCCUUCUCCAUAACACUAUCCUGUAGACCCUAGUUUGUCAGCUCCCCAGCGAGCCUCCAACCCGCUCUCAUUGAGCUUUGACCCUUGAUGGAGAUGGGAGGCGGGAGCUACCGAAAGUGGCUCCUUCACCUUAGAAGCGCCACGUCGUAGGCUCCUAAACCUCGCCAGAAAGGGAUGCAGGGGAAAGGGUUUGAGGUAACACCCUCAGCCUCACUCCCAGGAUUCUGGGAACUGUCCCAGCCAUUUCUGAGCAGUACAUCUAAAAGCUGACAUCUAACAUCCGUUUCAUCGUCUCCAUUGUACUUUAUCUGAAAUGGUCAUGCUCACUGAUCCGCUCAUCCAAAAGAGUUGGAUGGUAAGAUAGUCCCUUUCGUCUUCACUGUAUUCCCCUAAUUUAGAUUAUUUCUCCACAGUAAGGACUUCUUAGAACAGUGUGUUUGAAAAAUUACAGAGCGCUCCUUGUUUGGUUGACGGAGUCACUAGAGAAGAAAACAGGGAUGUUAAGGCAAGUUAUGAAGAAAUUCCUAUGCCCUGCUAAAGCCUCAUGAUCUACUCAAAGCAGAGAUUUUAACAUGUUAGUGAUGAUCAAUCUGGUUUUGGACAAAAUCCACUGACUGCAGCUAUGGCCUCAUGAACUGUAUACGAUAAAGACUACCAAGUAUGGAGAUAGCAGAGUGUUAUCUUACAUGCUAAAAGGUGCCAUACCUUUGGAUUAAAAUACAAAGGUAUAUUGCUGAGGGAAGAGUCCUCAUACAGGGAGAGGUAACCCUCUCUAAAUCCCAGAUAGACAAAUGACAACAGACCAAAGAAACAGCUCUGGCUUCAUCAAGCUUUAGUGAAACAGAGAAUUAGUUUGCUGGGAUCACAUAGAAGGAGAGCAUGGAUGACUCAAAGGCGUCUGCAUCAUCAAAAUGCCCAUUAUUCUGUCCGGGGUGACAACCUACAAAAGCUGCAGCUCCCUACACACACACACACACACACACACACACACACACACACACACACACACACACACACGCACACACGCAUCCCUGGGGAAGGCUGUGCAUAAGACUAUGAGCCUUCUAUAGCUACAGAGUACUCCAGUAGCAUAGGUUGUCAUCCAGGACAAGGAGUUAAAAGAUUUUAAAUAGGAUGGGCUACCUGUCUCAAAAAGUAAAAACAAAACCAAAAAAACCCCCAAAACUUCAAUUGUGUAAAAUAUCCUCACCCCAAUCACUCAGUUCCAUGCCAACUCUUGAGUUUUCAUUGGGCUGUGAUUAGGAUUGGUGGGACUCAAAUUAUGCUGGCUGCAAAUUCUCCCUAAGCAGCCUGAUUAUUCUGACACUGCAUGACAGUUGGAGACUCUUUUGGUGGAAAUCUAGUUUUCUCUUCAUUUACAGACCACACUGUGGUAGAAAUCCAAGUGCUUCUGAGAAAUCUUUUUCUUAUGGCCUUGGCUCAAUGAUAAGCCAGACCUGCUCACCCAUGAAGCAGACCAAAGAGGCCUGGAAGGUGGAAAGAAAGCAGACAGGACCAAAUGUACCAGCUAUUCUGGAGUGACUGAGUUAGGCAUGGUGAGAGGUUCCAGUGACAUUGGAAAUGGAAUAAGGAUGGGAGCUGAAGAGAAGGCUUAGCAGGUAAUAAACAAGCACUUGCUGCUCUUUAAGAGGAUGUGGGUUGAGUUCCCACCAUUGGCAUUCCAGCUGGCAGCCAUUCAUAACAGCAGUUCCAGAAGAUCAGAUACCUUCUUCAGGCCUCAGCAGUUACCAGCCACAAGCACAGACCACACACACACACACAUGCUGCAAAACACUGACACAUAUAGGCUAAAAUACAUAAGCAGAUAAGCCUUUAGAAACAAGAACAUGCAAAUGGGAAAUGAGGUUGAGUCUCCCCAUUCUGUUUUUCUAAAAAUAAUACUGGAAUAGUCUACUGCAAAUCAUCUCAAGAUUAUCUCAUACAUUUCACUUUGUGUUGUAGAAAUUUUAAUAUUCCUAACAUCUGAGGUAGUUCAGUAAAUGGCAGUCCUCUGUCUCUGAGUGUGUACUUCUUCCUGUGAAUUUUAACCAACAAAUAUAAAUAAACGAAGCAUUGCUAUGCUUGACGCCAUCUCUUGGUGGCAUUACCCACAAAAUAAAGAUUUACCUGAAGGGAAAGGGAUUCCACACAAAACAAUGGAAAAGGAAAAUGGGUCAUUCAGCUUUUUAUGGCCACUUGAAAUCUAAACUAUGUCCACAGUUAGGCUCUGUAAUCAUAGUCACCUUAAAUUUUUGGGUUUCAAAAGAGACUUCAUCCCUGUCUCUGUGAAGAGUCUUGCUGUAUAUUUCUGCCUUGCCUAGAGUUUGCUAAGCAGAUCAGGGUGACCUUGCACUAGUGACAGCUCUCUCACCUCUAUUCACAACUGCUGGAACACAGGCAUAAGAUGCCAGGCCUGGCUUGUUCUCUCACAUUUUUUUUUUAAAGAUUUUAUUUAUUAUAUAUAAAUACACUGUAGCUGUCUUCAGACACACCAGAAGAGGGCAUCAGACUUCGUUACAGAUGGUUGUGAGCCACCAUGUGGUUGCUGGGAUUUGAACUCAGGACCUCUAGAAGAGCAGUCAGUGCUCUUAACCACUGAGCCAUCUCUCCAGCCCCGUUCUCUCACUUUUUAAGUAUGGAAUCUUUCUGUCCCUACAGGUCUGUUUCUACCCUGAGAAUGGAACAGUUCAUGAAAUCAAGUCAAAGACUGAAAAAAAAAAAAAGGUUCAUGAAUAAACACCAGUUUUUAUAUAAUUUCAUUAUCUGUACAGUAUACUAACUUUAGGAGUGAAGUGGCCAGUCCAUGAACUUGAUAAAACAGUGGAGGCUCAGUAUCACUAAAAGCAUAUUUGGUUGUUUGAGUGCCAAGUCAUGCAUGGCGUUGGAAGGGAGGGUAUGACAAGGUUUCCCAAAUUUGGAGCAGAACAAGCAGGACCUGGGCUUCUAUGAGUAUUGACAGUUGUAGGGCAUGAGGCUUAUUUGUAUAAUGAUGUAUAGUGUUAUACAAAUUAUUACUAUACAAAUUAUUUGCUUUAUGGUCCUCCUUCGGGAUACCUCCAUGAUAGUUAGAAACAGAUUCCAGGAGUUGAGGGUGUGUCUAUGUUCCUUAGCAAAAAUAGUAAGUGCUGUGACCUUCAGGACAGCCCUUAAGGCUGUGGAAAAGAAUUCGGAAAACAUGAGUUCAAAAAUAUAUACUUUCUCAACUAUGCAAAAUAUAAAGAUGCAAUAUGAAUUGCAUGAUUGUCUUGACAGACCUAAAAGAACAAUGGCACUAAUAAGCCAGCUUGUCAGAAAGAUAUGAGCAGGCAGAUAACUGAGUUUAAGAUCAGCUUGGGACAGGUGAAUUUAGGUCCAGGCAUAGUAGGAAUGGUAAUCUCAGGACAGGAUCCCACCCUUAUUGUCUAGGCUUACAAGGCAGGCAGAUCUCUGAAUUCAUUUGCAAUGACUAAAAAAAAAAGUAGUUGUCCUUUUCCAAGAAUCAAGCAUGUACAGUCAUAGUAUGCUGAUUUGUGGAAUAAUCAAAAGGGAAUCUGGAGUAAAUGACUUAAUUGAUAUGUAAAUAAAAGAUGGCUUUGGUUAACAAAACUGCUUGGAGAGCAAACGACAUUUUUAGAAUUUUUUUUUUCUUUUCUCCCCCCCACCCCCAGCUGGGGACCGAACCUAGGGUCUUGAACUUGCUAGGCAAGCGCUCUACCACUGAGCUAAAUCCCCAACCCCCAUUUUUAGAAUUUUUACUGUUCUUUUAGAAUUUUUUUCUAGCAGCUUUUUUUGACUUUGGUCAGAAAACCUAUGAGCUAUCCCGAGAGCUUUCAAAAAAAUUUUUUUUCUAGCACAAGAGAGCUGUCUGGAGAGCCAUCUCGAGCAGAACAUGGGCAGUCAGCUUCUAUCCACAAUUGGUUUCAAAUUGUUUUUCUCACCACUCCCAAAUGCCACUUCCUCAGGACCCGCAACCAAGCUUAGGCACAUGAGUUUGUUUGGAGCACACAUUUAGCAAUGGAGAUGAAUUGUAGAGCAGAUCUGUGUUUAUUCCCAUUUGCAAGAGCAAGCAGACUGGAGAAGAAUACAACACACUAGCCAAGGGUGUGGGUGUAGGAGCCAGUGUGCUUGGGCAGCUCUGGCUUUACCAUUUACUAGUUGUGUGACCCAGAGCAAAUCACUUUCAUGUUUGUUUCCUUAGCUUCUCCAUCUGCAAAAUGAAGGUAAUAAAAUGAGGUGACUUCAAGAAUGAAAAGGGUUAAUUAUAUAUGUACUUAAGAGUUAGGCUCCUUAUAACUAUCACUAAGCGGUUACUCAUUUUUUAAUUGGGUAAUCUAGAAAAAAGACUAGUUCAAAAGUGGCUAAUAGAGUUGGUUUCCUAAAAUGAGCCAAAGGAGAGUAUGAUGAAGGGUGAAUGCUACUCAGUGUUUUUUAGUUAGCACUGCAGUUUUGAUGUAGUGACUUAGGUAUUCUUGAGUCUGACUUGAAAUGAGAUUUAAGCUGGGGUGUCCAGAGUGACACUGUUAUCUAGUAUGCCUGUGGCCUGCAGGCUAUAGGUUGGACAUACCUAAAUCCACCAGGCAACUUGGAGCUGCAUUUUAGCUAAAAUAUUGCAGGGUUGAAAUAAGAGGACCUCUUUUGGACAGUGAACCUCCUGAAGCCACACCUAGCAUAUUACCAAAUGCCACUCAAUGAACCAUAGAGCAGUUUGUACCUGAAGGUGUCUCAGCAGAUACCUUUGAUACAGAGAUAGCAGUGAACGUUGGGGAAGAGGGUGACUAAAGAUUCAGAUUGCUCACUGAACAACACAAAGAAAUCCACUAUGGAAUGUAGCUCUUCACCUCCUAGUUGUACACUUCCUUUUUCUCUCCAAAUGAUCCUGAGAGAUCACUGUUGUCCUGGAAAGUUGAGCUCUGGCUUUCUGCUUAGGUUUCUUUACUCAACAAGAGCCUAGAAGUUAGACUUAACACCUCAUUUCUAGUUUGCCCCGAAGAGACUUCACAACCAUCUACAUACAUUUAUAAAGUUAUUUAUCUAACAUAAAAUAAUCUGUUUCUUAGCAAUUCAUCUUAUGAGAAUAUUUUUUAUUUAUCUUUAAGAUGGACAACAGGUAGUCAACAGUAUCCAUCUUAGAGCUUUCUAAAAAUUUCCAGCAGUUGUUGGAGAAAUUAGGAAUAUGGGAGCUAAAGGAGUGGGAACGUUGUAUAUACUGGGGUAGGGUCUGCUUUAUACUCUGGUCAGAACUUUGUUAUUGCUCAUAGGUUUCAACAGGAAUUGGAGGGGAAAAGGCCUUAUGAGAAUUUAUAAAAUACUAAUUGUGAAAUAUAAAAAUAAACUGGUAUCUAGUUUUUAAGACAGUUGGCAAUGGCUCAGCGGUUAAGAGCACCCGACUGCUCUUCCAGAGGUCCUGAGUUCAAUUCCCAGCAACCACAUGGUGGCUCACAACCAUCUGUAAAGAGAUCCGAUGCCCUCUUCUGGUGUAUCUGAAGACAGCUACAGUGUACUUAUAUAUAAAAAUAAAUAAAUCUUUAACAAAAAAAAAAAAAAAAAAGACUGUUGGCAAUCAAGUAUCCUUGACAAUAGAACCAACAAUACUAACAUGAUAACACUGUCAUUUAUUUUUCUUUUGUGUUUUUGUUAUUUAUGGAUUUUUUCUUUUUUAUUUAUUUAUUGAGACAGGAUUUUUCUGUGUACUGGCUGUCCUGGAACUCCUUCUGUAGACCAGGCUAGCCUUGGUCUCAAGAGGUAUAUUGGGAUUGGGGAUUUGGCUCAGUGGUAGAGCGCUUGCCUAGCAAGCUCAAGGUCCUGGGUUCGGUCCCCAGCUCCGAAAAAAAGAAGAAGAAGAAAAAAAAAAGAGGUAUAUAGACUAUGCUGGCUUAGAACUCUCAGUGAUCUGCCUCCUGAGUGCUGGGAUUCAAGAUGGGCACAUAAGUCUUGUUUUUGAUAGAAUAUAACAAGACUAUAGUGAAGUAGAGACUCCCCUGAAAUACAUAGUAACCAGAAUGAUCUUAAAUUCCUGAUUCCCCUGUCUAAGCCUCCCAAGUGCUGGGGUUACAGUUAUGACCUGUUUGUUUUUGUGCAGUGAACGCAGGGCUUCUUACAUGUUGAGAAUUAACUUUUCCACUGAUCAAUCAAUCUCUCUCUCUCUUUCUCUCUCUCUCUCUCUCUCUCUCUCUCUCUCUCUCUCAUCAACACAUAAACUUUGUGGAUAUAUGGCAUGAAUGAAAAACUCAUUACAAUUUGUACUAUCUCUGCAAUUUAAACCAAGAAAUUCACUCCCUGACACAUUUUAACUAAUAAAAUAUUUUUAAAGUGGGGAUUGUGUUGGAGGUAGCUUCAUGCAUGGAAAUAGCUUCAGGCUGGGGUUGUCUAAGUCUGGAAGAAAAAGCAGAAUUCAGGCUAGCAAAAUGGGCAAAUUCAGGCUAUCUCAAUGGGUUAAUGAAGAGGAAAUUUCUGGUUUCUUUAACAACUCGGUUGUGUCACAUGAUGCUUUUCUGGAAGCUGUCUUGCGAGAGGGCAUGUGAUAUUUCGCUGGAAAGAUACACUUGAGAGGGUGAGUGGUGUUUAGGAAGAAUAUAAAUAGAAGUGGGAGGACUCUCUUGCAUUGCUGCGCUGUGCAACGCUUCCCCCUUCUUUGCUGGUCUUCACUUUGUAGAGAAAAGCUUGCCAAAGAACUUCUUGUGAUAUUCUGGCUGAUACUGGUCACUUCUGAUGACUUUUGCCAAUUAGGUGGAGCCUUGCAGUUUCUGUUGGAUGGAGAUGAGCUGCCACCACUGAUUCGUUUUUGGUGUUUGCGAUUGGACUGGACUGCUGGUAUCCUGACAAGGAAGAGUGGAAUCUCCCCAAAGUACUACUACCCCUCACAACCCCCUUUUUCCAUUAUCCUUCUUUCUCCCCUACCUUUGGUUGGUGAGCUAAAAGGGAAGUUGAAGCAUUUAAGAAUCCUAAAUAAAGUAGGUUGUGAAAAAUCUAGGGGGCUGGAGAGAUGGCUCCGCUGUUAAGAGCACCAACUGCUCUUCCAGAGGUCUUGAGUUCAAUUCCCAGCAACCAUAUGGUGGCUCACAACCAUCUGUAAUGGGAUCUGAUGCCCUCUUCUGGUAUGUCUGAAGAGGUUGACAGUGUACUUAUAUACAUAAAAUCAAUCAAUAAAUCUUUACAAAAAGAAAGAAAAAUCUAACCCUACAGGUAACUAUUUGCCACCACAGGUAACUAUUUGCCACCAAGUCUGACACCUUUGUUUGAUCUUUGGGAUGCAUUCUGUGGAAAGAAGGAACUCCCACACAUUGUCUUUGGACCUCCACAGGUGUGCACACUCACAGAUGCACACAGAAGUAAAAUACAGUAACUUUAGAAAAGAAAGAAAAUUUGGGAUGUGUUUGUCACUUUAGAGAUUUCUGUAAGGGCUUGCUCUUACCUGCUGUCAUGUGGCUUGCAUUCUAAGUAUGAAGACAGCCCAAGAGCUUCCUCAUCCAGGAAACGCUUAUCUCUGUUUCUGGUAUAUUCCCCACCCUCUGGAUGCGGAACAGAGCCUGGGAGGCGAUGAUGCGCAAAGAGGGCUCAGGGUCUUGUAACAGUUCUCUCAGAUCUACAUGGCAAGAAAACCAAGACUGAAGUCUGGAAGUGACUACUACUCUAGAUACCAAGCAGCCAACAAACCAGAAUGGUAGGAUAAAAGGAUGAUGAUUUCCAAGACUGGCCAAAAGUCUGUACAUUGUUGAAAUGAUUCCAUUUUUGACCUGUAAAACCCACUGUUUAAAUGUUAAAAUAACCAUAUCUUAAGUAGUCUAUCUAAAAUCAAAUCAACCUAUCUCUAGUGCUAACUUCUUACCUUCUUGUCUUACUCUAAACAUGUUAACUCUUAAAUCAUCCCUUGCUGUAUUACCCUUUUCUGAUGUCUAAUGUUAACCUCUUUUUUUUCUUUUUUGUUUUUUCAAGGCAGUAUUUCUCUAUAUAUCCUGGCUACCCUGGAGACGGCUCUAUAGACCAUGCUGGUCUCAGGCAAGCUUCAAAAUCAGAUCCACCAGCCUCCAAGUACUGGGAUUAAAAGUGUGUACUACCACUGUCUGGCUUAAUGUUAACCUCUUAACUUCUUGUCUUACUUUCAAAAACAUUAACUCUUAAAUCAUUAUUCUCUUGCAGUGUUUUUUGUUUUGUUUUGCUUUGUUUGAGACAUAGUCUCAUUGUGUAGCUCUGGCUGAACUGGAAUUUAUUAUGUAGAUGAAGAUAGACACAAAGAUCCACCCACUUCUGCCUCUCAAGUACUGGGAUUAAAGAAACAUUCUGGAGUACCUGGCUAGUAUAUUUCAAUUUUUAAUGCCUGCUUUAUUUUGUUGCCAAGGCUGAACUUGAAUAGCCAUUCCUGUGCUUUAGCCUCCCAUGGGGCUGAGAUACCAAAUACAAAUUAACAUGUCCAGUUUAGAUUUUAGCUUUUGUAUUUUCUUAUAGCAAAAGAAAUAUGUGUUUGUUAUAUAGAAAACUUGUACAAUACAUAUAAGCACUAGAAGAAUGUAAGUCAUGUAUGAUUUUACCACCUAGAGAUAACAGCUGUUAUUUUGAAAGUAUGUCUUUCAGGAGAGUGGUGGUGUCCUUAAUCCCAGCAUUUAAGGACAGCCUACUCUACAGAUCGAUUUCCACAAUGGCCAAAAGAAACCUUAGCUGGAAACAAACAAACAAACAAACAAACAGUAUAUCUUCCUGAUCAUAUUUCCAUGCUCUGUUUUGUCCAUUGAACCAUAUGAUCCAAACAAACAAACAACAACAACAAAAAGAAUGCUUUAUUAAAGAGAGAGUGUCAUACGUCCUUCCUCUACCUUCCUGAGUUCAGGGAUGCAUGCUUGUUGUGUUAGAAUGUUAAUAGAAGUGACUUGAUGGAGUGGAGGGACAGGUCGGUGGGUAAGAGCAUUUGCUGCUUUCGUAGAGGACUUGGAUAGAGUUCCCAGCACCCACAUGUUGGAUUAUAACCACGUGUCCCUCCAGCUCCAGGAGAUCCUGACAUCCUCCUCUGACCUCUGCAGGCACCAGGCAUGCACAUGGUGCACAUAUAUGCAAGCAAAACUCGUAUGCAUAAAAUAAAUAGAACUAUUAUUGUCUUCCUUAUACUAGCGUUACUCCCUACCUGUUUCAAUAAUUAACUGUGUUUUUAAAUGGAGUAAACUGGGUCCUGCAAUGCUCUCCUCAACCCGGCCUGACAAGCUCACUUCAAUCCCCAGAACCCACAUGGUUGAGGAAAAGAAUCACUCUUGGAGUUUGUUCUCCUACAUCCAUACACAUACUAAGUAAAUAAGUAAAUACAAAAUCUUAUUCUUUUUUUUUUUUUUUUUUUUUUUGAGCUGGGGACCGAACCCAGGGCCUUGUGCUUGCUAGGCAAGCACUCUACCACUGAGCCAAAUCCCCAACCCCAAUACAAAAUCUUAAAUAGUAAUAAAAAAGCAGUAGGGAUGGUGUCACAUGCCUUUAAUCCCAGAACUCAGGAGGCACAGGCAGAUGGAUCACUGUGGGUUUGAGGCCAGCCUGGUCUACAGAGUGAGUUCCAAGAGAGUCAAUACCAUGCAGAGAAACUCUGUCUCAAAAAAACAAAAACAAAAUUAGAUUUUUUUAAUUGUGAGAGGGUGUAUUUGCAUUUCUUUACCUUUUCUGAGUAUAUAACUACCUUUUCCUCCGUGCUAGAGAUUGAACCUAGACCCCAAUGCAUUCUAUAACUAAACAUUCUACAGCUAAGCUAUAGACAAGCCUACCACUGAACCUUAUUCAGAUUUAUACAACUACUCUUAAAUGGGAGCAAUAAUUCAUUGAGCACUUAAUCUGCAGAACUGUGCAGCUACAUAAAGCGUGACCCACCAACAGUUCUGAAAACAGUUCCCUGAUGGUGGCCUUAGGUGACUAUAGAGCCUCUUCAGGCCAAGUCCUACUCUACAGCAUAGUGGCUUAGACAGUACUGCAGCCUGUGAGGUGUGUGUGAAUAUCAUCACAAUUUGUUAUAUAGAAUUCUAGAGAGAUACUGUUUUACUUCCUGAUAAUGUUUAGGGCUCUCCCCUAAGACAGCUGUGAAAGCUGUUCCGAGACAAACAGGAUCUCAGCCUUUCCAAAGGUGUCUUAGACUUAAGACUGUAAUUUAGUUGAAUUAUAGUCACUUGCAUUUUUAUUGCUGCAUAAGCUCAGAGUUUACAUGCCAGACUCAGUUGUGCUACAGAGCCUUCUGUAGACACAGAAUCAGAUGCCUUCCAAAAUAGUGAGUCCCACAUCCAAACAAUGUCCUUACUUACCAUUCUCUAUCCAGUCAGUACCCUUCCUCUUGAGUUCACUGGCAUCCACAUAAUUUGAUAAGAGCCCUGAACACAAAGUAGCAAGUUUCAGACUUUUAGGGAUUAGAAGUUUUUCCAUUUUUAUCAUUUAAUAGUACAGAAUUAGCCUUUAGAAAAUAAGGAAUAUUCAAAGUAAUAAACACUAGCUCACACCUGUAAUUCCAGUGCUUGGGAAGCUCAGACAUGAGAAUUGCCAUGAGCUCCAAGUCAGCCUAGGGUGCACAGGGAAACGGUCUCGAAAACUAAGCAGAGCCUGACUGGGAACACACAUCUAUAUCUGAACAUUCACAGGGCAGAGGCAGGUGGAUCUGUCUGAGUUCAAGGCAAGCCUGGUCUACAUAUCAGUUUCAGGCCAACUGGGGCUACACAGUGAAAACUUGUUUCAAAAAAGAAAGAAAGAAAUGAAAUGAAAAAGAAGGAUUGAAUGAAAUAAAAGCUAGCAAGGUGGCUUAAAGGGUUAAUGUGCUUGUUCAUGAGCCCAGCAACCUGAGUUCAAUUCCCAGAACCCACAGAGUAGAAGAAGGGCUGAUUCCCACAAGUUCUCUGACCUCUACAUAUCCACCAUGUCACCUAAAUGCCAUGUCACCCACACGUGUGUGUGUGUGUGUGUGUGUGUGUGUGUGUGUGUGUGUGUAUACACGUGCAUACAUACACAAGCAUACACACACACAAUCAUUUUAAAUAUUAUUGGUCAAUAACAUGGUUCUUGCACAAGACUGGGCCCACAGAUAUUCUGUCACUAAGAACUUACGAGGCCUGGCACAUGCCUGAGGAUUUCUGGGCAGUCAUAAAGGUUUCUGGGGAAAGAGGUCUGUGAAGUCCUAUACCUACCGUUAAUGGUUGCUGCAAGGAGUACUGUGAAGGGAGAAACAUUUUCUCAGUGGUGCAGUCACUUGUAAAUUACCCAUGCACCUAAAGUAACCCUAGUUAAAUUUCAUUCAGUCACCAAAAUAAAAGGCAUGAAAGUCGCCAAGAGACUAUUGGAGAGAAGGGGAUCAGUGGGGGUGGGUGAGGAUGGCAGAGGGCUAUGGGGUGAAUAUGAUUGCAGUCCUGUCUACGUAUAUAAAGAAAAGAAUGGGGAUGCUUAGCACGCCGUGGGGAGGUCCAGGAUCGAGGUAACUGUACAAAUGAAAGGGUUUCUUUUACCUACAAACAAGACAGCUGUUCUUCUGAUGGGAAGUUUUGGAUCCUUGGAAUACGUUAGUGUUUGGUCUAGGAUGUCUAUUUUCCCCUUGCUUCUCUCUCCCUACAUUGAAGGGAAAGAGUACACAGAGAACAAAGUAGCUGGUGAGUACAGCAGUGCCUGAGCGCUGCAGUGACUGUCACAGCGACUCUUCACCAAGACAGCAAGCCCGGAAAAUUAAGUCCUCAGGAUACCCACGUGCAUCCCUGUCUGUGACACCGUCUGCCACCCUGGCUUCUCUGCACCUCUCUGUCUUCUCAACUCUAAAGGCCACCUUUAGCUUUCACUUCCCUGCCAGCUCUUCCCGCCUAGUCAGCCCUGCUCUGAGGCUUCCUCUCUUGGCACGUACUGUCUUCCACUUGGACUCUCCAUUUUAGUUCCUUACAAAUUUUCAGUCUCCUUAGUGGGCUGCAGGCUCUAAACUGGAAGUUUGAAACCUGGAUUACUAUAGCUGGCUCCACAAAGGUUGUUUGCUCUCCGAGUGAAUGAGUCCACCUCUCAAGGGCCUCUCAGGAGACAAACAGGAAGGGGAGACAGGAAGUGUUUCUCAUAGAGGUUCCAAUUUGACAUGGACAAUUUGUACCUUUACCCACUGGGACAGCAAAUUUCUUGUUGGGAAUAUUGUCAUUAAUGCAUCAAUUAUAUGUAGUGGCUGGAGUUCAGAGACCUAAUAUCCAGAAAAAGGACAGGCAAGGACACUGUGAUGUGCUUCCUAGCCCUACAGGCUUGAUGAGAAAAGACUAUUCUGGGAUUUAAGUAUGUGGAAGAUUCCUAGAAAUAGUCCCAGAGGUUUCAGUGUGGAAUCCAGAUAGUUCUACUAUAAUCGGUUUCUAGAAAACUCUGCAUGGACCUUCUGAAGCUACCCUGAAUCAAGCCUGACUCUGUUGUGAGCCAUAUAGGCUCUGCUGGAUUUUGAGAAGAUGCUAUCUGGUCUCGGGGCUAGUGACAUGUUGCCUCUUCAUGUGUAAGGUCAUACACUAUGGCAGUCCUUGUGUAGGGCUAUCAUGCUCUGAGAGAAAAUGCAACAGCCCACUAUAUCAGGCAAAGGGUUAUAAGCAUAAAGAUAACAUAAUCAUUUCAAGUUCACUCACAUGGAUUUUUGUUUUUGAGAUGAAAUCUCUGGCUGACCUAGAACUUACUGUAUAGACCACCUUGGCCAUUAAGUUACAGAAAUGUACCUGCCUGUGCCUCCUGAGUGCUGGAAUAAAAGGUUUGUAGCACCAAACCUAGCCCAAAUAAAAGUUUUUGACCAGAUAUUGUCAGCCUGACCUUGUAGUUUCUGAUGCAAUUAAUGGUGCUCUCUAGUUUACCAGCCAUUUUGUUAGCACUGUUUUGAGACAAGGCCUCAGGCUAUAGCUCAACUUGCCCUCAAACUCACACUGAGCUUCCUGCUAGCCCUGAGUGCUGCUGUUUACAGGUAUGUGUGCCAUGCCUGUGCCACCAGCCUGUUGCACAUGUGAAAAAAGAUACACAGUGGUGAACUUGUGGGCUAGUGAAAUGGCCCAGUGGGUAAAGUGCUUGCCUUACAAACCCGAGGAUUCAAGUGUGAUCCCUAGAACCCACAAAAGCCAGAUAUGCAGUCCCAGAAUUCCUAGAGUGAGAUGGGAGAUGGAGACAGGAGACUUCCUGCCUCACAAGGUGGAAGGCAAGAACUGACUCUUGAAAGUUGUACACUGACCUCUACUUGCACACUGUGGCACUGUCAAUGUGUGUCCAAACACACAGAAAGAAUCUUUAAAAGUGUACUACAGGAAAUAGAUCUACCUUUUAAACAAUUCAUGGAGAGAAACUACUGCUUGGAAGGGGGUGGAAGGGGAAAGGUUUCCUGUGUGCCAUGAAUCUCCACUAAAAGCUAUCGGAAAAACAGACAAGCAAAGUCACAAUGUCUCACAUACAAAGAAUUUGCAGACCCUUCUAACUUCAUUUGGUUUGAUGUACAGGGGGUCUUUGCAGUAUACUUCUCGGGGAAGCUUCCAAUUCAGGAACCGGGCACAAAGAGUUAGGACUCGUCUACUCUCCUGUGGGGGAAAGAAUAUCAUAGGUUAGUAUUUUCAAACAUGUUUUAACUGAGUAAAGUUCUUUAGUAAAACUGACUCCAAGGUCUAAUGUGAAAGGCUGCUAAUUUCAGAAUUACUCUGGCUGAGAUGAGAAGGGGAGGAACUGGGAUCUAGCCUUCCUUCUGAAGAUGCUAAAGGAACCGUCAACCUGCAAGGUGUGAAGAGGAUGUGGAAACCACUGGUCUCUGGAAAACCUACUAGAUGUGGUGCCCAGGUAAGGUACAUUUGUAUAAUCCAUGCUUUGGAUAGGAUUCCAUUGAGCAAGUGAGUCCCUUCCAUAGUCACUGCUCUCAGAAUGCCGCCAAAGCAUUCAACACUUAUUCAGGUCCACUAGAUAUAUGUGCCAAAAAUAUCCUUUCAAGGCGAGGGAUGGUGGUGCAUACCUUUAAUCAUGACACUUAGGAAGCCAAAGCAAAUGGGCAGACCUCUGAGUUAGGGGCCAGCCUGGUCUACAUAGCCAGUUCCAGGUCAUCUGGAGCUAUGUAGUGAUCCUAGCAUUCCUUGUCGCAAAACAAAAGCAACAAAAAAAAACAAAGCCUUUGGAGAUCGAUGAGAAUAAGAAUUAGUUCAGCUAUUUUGUGUAGUACUUUGUAGAUGUGUAGUAAAAUUAAUGAUAUUCCACACUAGGUUUUUAUUCCCUCAAGAAAUUCUCACGUGCAUUCAUUAAAGUGCUCAUUGUAGUACUAUAAUCACAAAAAUCGAAAACUGUCUAAGUGUCCUGGAAGAGGAGAACGGGGUGAAUUUUAGAUCAAAUGAUGCAAUUAGGGCUGGAGAGAUGGCUCAGCGGUUAAGAGCACUGACUGCUCUUCCAGAGGUCCUGAGUUCAAAUCCCAGCAACCACAUGGUGGCUCACAACCAUCUGUAAUGAGAUCUGAUGCCCUCUUCUGGUGUGUCUGAAGACAGCUGCAGUGUAUUUAUAUAUAAAAAAUAAAUAAAUCUUUAAAAAAAAUGAUGCAAUUACCUAUAACACUGCCAAUAAAUUAUCUACAGUCUUAAAUCUCAUGAUUACAAUGUUAAGCAAAUAUGCUAAAAAUUAUAGAAAAACACAACAUAAAGUUUAAAACAUGGAAAAAUAAACUGGAUGUGGUGGCACACAACUAUAAUCCCAGUACUUGGAAGGCAAAGGCUAAACUCUCUCUCUCUCUCUCUCUCUCUCUCUCUCUCUCUCUCUCUCUCUCUCUCACACACACACACACACACACACACACACACACACACACACACACACACACACACACACAA